rnacentral:rRNA from 1 species
UGGGGAAUUGUUCGCAAUGGGCGUAAGCCUGACGACGCAACGCCGCGUGGAGGACGAAGAUCUUCGGGUCGUAAACUCCUUUCGAUCGGGAAGAACGCCUUCCGGGUGAACAAUCCGGAGGGGUGACGGUACCGAGUGAGGAAGCCCCGGCUAACUCUGUGCCAGCAGCCGCGGUAAUACAGAGGGGGCAAGCGUUGUUCGGAAUUACUGGGCGUAAAGGGCGCGUAGGCGGCCUGUUAAGUCGAACGUGAAAUCCCCGGGCUCAACCCGGGAACUGCGUCCGAAACUGGCAGGCUCGAAUUCGGGAGAGGGAUGCGGAAUUCCAGGUGUAGCGGUGAAAUGCGUAGAUAUCUGGAGGAACAUCGGUGGCGAAGGCGGCAUCCUGGACCGAUAUUGACGCUGAGGCGCGAAAGCCAGGGGAGCAAA